UAUGCAAAAUCCAAAUUUCAGAAACAGAAGUCCUCUUCUUCGCCCAGAAAAAGCAAAAGGAUACUGAAAAAAGCAAAAGACCGGCUUUUUGAAGCGUGAAGGCUACCGUAGCCGUAUUACGUAAUU